rnacentral:lncRNA from 1 species
UGGGAGAGAAGAAAAUAGGAAGGAGUUCUUUUCUAUUUUUACUCUACCUUCUGACAGUACCUUCUAUGAUCUAUCUUCAACAUCAAAAAUAUCUGAGGUGAUUGAAGAAGGUGAUCAAAUCAGAUUCGCCAUCAGAAGCCAACUGUGCGAGCUAGGACUCCCAUGGAGGGCUGAUCGAUCCAAGGGCUUCAUGUGGACGAUCUAUAGAGAUCGGAUGCUUGUGCGGCUAUGAUCGAUCAGUG